rfam:Jannaschia donghaensis strain CECT 7802 genome assembly, contig: 0012
CAACCAUCCCAACGGCUUCCUGACGGGGUGUGAUGACAAAUCGGAGCA